UAAAAUAAAGCUUUAUAGUUAAGCAUUUCACUUACGUUGAAAAGGAUUAUCGUGCAAAUCGAUUUGUUUUAA
rnacentral:tRNA from 1 species